rnacentral:lncRNA from 1 species
GAUAAACAGACGGUGGAUAAACAGGCGAUGGAUAAACAGACGGUGGAUAAACAAACGGUAAAUAAAAAUGUAAUAAACGAUGAAAAAAACAUAUUAAAUAAUGUCAAAGAUACAUAUACUAAUAUAAAUAAAAAUAUAUGCGAAACUAUGUUACAAAUAACAGAUAAAACAAAUUCUUUUCAAGUACCUAUGGAACAUAUUAAUGAUAACAUAGGGGGAAUAACUGAACAGAACAAAAACCAAGUUGAUCAAUAUCAUAUUUGUACAGAAAAUAAAACAAAUUUAUAUAAUAUCCAAAUAGAUACAGUUGAUAAAAGAAGGAAACUGUUUGAUGAGGAGAUUAUAAGUGACUAUCCAAGUGAUGUCAACAAAAAUGGAAAAGGUAACAACAAAAAUAAAAAAACCAAAAAUUUAAAUAACACUGGUGAAACGAAAAAUAUUAUGUUGGAAAUUAUUGGAACGCUAAACGAAGAACAUGAAAAAAAAAAAAAGAUAUUUAGAAUAUAAGAAAGCCAAAAUUGAAGGAAAAAUAAAAAGAUUUAGCUCAGAACAAAACAAAACAAACCAUGUUAAAAAAGAAAAAUUGUUAGCAGAUAUAUCGGAAAUAGAACAUAUAAAACUUGACAACGCCAUGGAUAAAAAAAUGCAUAUGAAUAACUUGCACAAUCAUAUAAAUUUGGGAAGUAGCAAUUUGGGAAGUAGCAACUUGAAUAAAACAUUUUCCGAUAACCAAAGUUUAAUAAAGAAUUAUAAUUUGUAUGAAAACAUGAAUAACAGUAGAACCCCUAUAAUAACAAAACCACCAACAUUGUAUAAUAGAACUUCUGAAAAUAACAACUUAGGUUCGAAUAUUAAAAAUAAAAACAUUCAUGGAUUUAUUUCUAGGCCAUAUGUUAAAAAUGGUAAUACUAAUAACAACAAUAGCGACAAUGUACAAUAUUUACAUAAAAAUGAACCAAAUUCAAAAUGGAAUUUGCCGAUUCAAAAUAUGUCAACUACAAUGACUUCUAAUAGGAGUUCCAAUGUAGGACCCUCUAAUAAAAAUUUUGUUACAGAAAAACAUGCGUAUCCCCAAAAAUAUAACACCCAUGAUGGUACUAAUAAUUUUAAUUAUUCUCAUAUAUCUGAAGCAAUAAAUAUGUUGAGUAAUUUAAAAAAUGUAAAUAACAAUGCUAAUAAUAAUGACAAUUUUGGUUAUACAAAAAAUGUAAAUAAUUAUUCCAAUCCAUUAAAUGCUGAUUUAAAUCCAUUAACUACGAACUUAAAUCCAUUAACUACGAAUAUUGAUUCUAAGGAUUGUAUUUAUGAUAACGUUGUGCGUGAUAACAUGCAUAUAAAUAUAAAAAAUUAUAAUGUAACAGCAAAUGAACAACUGAUAAAUAACAACCAAUCAAUUAAAAUACUAAAUGAAAGUUUUAACAAAAUUAAAAAUUAUUCAAAUAAAAUAAAUCCUGAUGUUUAUCCAACCCAUUCCAAUAUCCAUAAUGGUUAUUCAGAUAUACCUAAACCUGAUAGUAAUAAUAAUAAUAAUAAUAUGUUUGAUUUUAUUUUUAAAAAAGAUGGGUAUAAUAAUAAUAAUAAUAAAAGUUAUAUCCAUAACAAUAAUAAUGAUAACAUUGAAGUAAAUACAUUUACUGAUACAGAUGGUUUAUAUAUGAAUACAAAUACAUAUAAUAACGAAUCAUUACCACACAGAUAUAACAAUCCAAAACAAAUGCAAAAAGUAAAUGAUAAUACCUUAGUUAAAGAUCCUUUUGAAUUUUAUAACAAUUAUAAUAAUGAACAGAAGGAGAAGGAGGAGGAAGAAGAAAUAAACGAUAAAAAUGUCAAAAUAAACCGAAUGCAAGGAAAAGAAAACAUAAUUACUAACUAUGAAGAACAUAAAGAUGUACUUAUUAAUGAUAAAACGAAUAUAAAUCAAAAUAUAACAGUUGAUAAAAAAAGAGGAUAUAUUACGAACUUUUUACACAAGACAUUUAACAAAUUCGUACCAAAUACGAACACAUAUGACGAGGUAAUUACAGCAAAAAAUGGAGCACAGACUGGAGAAGGUACAAUUAACAAAACACCUGAUGGAAAUAACCUUUUAAAUAAUAACAAAACAAAUAUAAAUGACUUAUUAAAUAACAUUUUCGAAAAAUAUAAACAGUUUGAGCAGAUUAAAGAAAAUCAUAAGGAAAACAUAACAUAUACAUAUCCCCCACCAAGCAUAUACAAAGACAACGAAAUUACUAAAAAUGAUUUAAUAAUAAAAUUUAAUUGUUAUAAAUAUGAAAAUAUAUCUUUGUAUUUAAAUUAUAAGACUACUACGAGUCCUAAUUUAAUGGAAACAAAAACCAAAACUAAUAAAUUUCCUAUUUUACCAUUACAAGGCUUACUUACAUCAGAAAAUUUAAAACAACUUAAUUUACCUCCAAUACCAAUUCUACCUAAUCUUUUACCUACACAAAACAUUAUACCAUCAGUUCUAUUACCAUUUAAUAACAUAUUAGAAUCGUCAAUAAACAAUAAUAAUAAUAAAACUACUAUUAAUAUACAACAAAAUAAUAGUAAUGAAAACAAAUAUGUGCAUAUCUAUAAUAAAAAAAACUUAUAUACUUCCUUUGAUGAGUUUGUAAAUAUUUUCGAUGAUGAUAUAAAACAAGUUUUGUUAAAAAAUAGAGAUCUGGCUCAUUUGUUAAUGAAUAAACCGGAUGUUGUACAGAAAAUGUUAAAAGGAGCGCAAUACGUUGACGUAAGUUUUUUUUUUUUUAACAUUUAUACUUUUUUGCAUGACAAUGGUUAUUUCUCUAUCUAUAUAAUAUUAUAAGCGUUAACAACAUAUAUAUAUAUAUAUAUAUUAUACAUUUUUGCUGCACUUUUUUUUUUUUUUUUUUUUUUAGGAAGCAUUAUGCUCUUUACAAGAAGAAUUAAAAAGUUGGAACAAAUCAAACUUAAUUUCUUAACACAGAACGAGACGAAUUGUUGUCGUCGUCCUUUUUCGUUAUUUUAUUUUCCACCUUUUAUUUUUCAUUUUUCAUUUUCCACUUUUUAUUUCCCAUUUCAUAUUUCAUUUUAUUUUUUAAAUAUAGCUAUGCAUAUAUUUUGUUUAAGUUAACUUUGUCAUUUAUUAAUUACUUUUUAUUUUUUAUGCGUACAUUGUUAACAAUUUUUGCAAACAAAUUUUUUAAUUUUUAUUAUUAUAAUAAUUAUUAUUACGAUUUUGUAGUUGCCCCUUUUUUUUUUUUUUUUUUUUUUUUUUUUUUUUUUUUUGUUUUUUGUAAUAUAAAAAAAAAAAAAUACAGUAAAAAAAUAAUUUUUUUUUUUAUAAUUUUUGUGCAUUCGAGUUUUAUUCGAGUUUUAUUCGACGUUUAUUCAUUUUCUUUUAGAAGUUGUUAAAUUCAAAUUUAUGUAUACAUAUUUGUUGUUUUACUUUUUCAUUGUAUAUCUUCAUGUUCCCCCGAGCUUUCUCCCACAUACUAACCUCCAUUAUCG